rnacentral:rRNA from 1 species
AGAUAAUAGAUACCCGGGUAGUCCUAGCCCUAAACGGUGCGCGUUUGCUGUAAGAGGAAUCGACCCCUUUUGUGGCGAAAGCUAAACGCGUUAAAAACGCGCCGCCUGGGGAGUACGGUCGCAAGAUUAAAACUCAAAGAAAUUGACGGGGGCCUGCACAAGCGGUGGAGUAUGUGGCUUAAUUCGAUGCAACGCGAAGAACCUUACCUGGCCUUGACAUGCAUUUGGUAGAACCAUGAAAGUGGGACGACCCCGCAUGGGGAGGAUGCACAGGUGCUGCAUGGCUGUCGUCAGCUCGUGUCGUGAGAUGUUGGGUUAAGUCCCGCAACGAGCGCAACCCUUGUGUCCUGUUGCCAACCGAACGAGAGUUUGGAGCACUCUGGACAGACUGCCUCGCUCAAACGGGGUAGAAGGUGGGGAUGACGUCAAGUCAGUAUGGCCCUUACGGCCAGGGCUGCACACGUACUACAAUGCCCGCUACAAAGGGUAAGCAAGACCGCAAGGUGGAGCAAAUCCC